rnacentral:rRNA from 1 species
AACGAACGCUGGCGGCAUGCCUAACACAUGCAAGUCGAACGAGACCUUCGGGUCUAGUGGCGCACGGGUGCGUAACGCGUGGGAACCUGCCCUUAGGUUCGGCAUAACUCCCCGACAGGGGUGCUAAUACCGGAUAAUGUCUUCGGACCAAAGAUUUAUCGCCCUUGGAUGGGCCGGCGUUGGAUUAGCUAGUUGGUAGGGUAAAAGACUACCAAGGCGACGAUCCAUAGCUGGUCUGAGAGGAUGAUCAGCCACACUGGGACUGAGACACGGCCCAGACUCCUACGGGAUGCAGCAGUGGGGAAUAUUGGACAGUGGGCGAAAGCCUGAUCCAGCAAGGCCGCGUGAGUGGUGAAGGCCUUAGGGUUGUAAAGCGCUUUUACCCGGGAUGAUAAUGACAGUACCGAGAGAAUAAGCUCCGGCUAACUCCGUG